GGGAAUGUGGCUCAGUGGUACAGCAUUUUCCUGGCAUGCACAAGGUCCUGGGUUUGAUUCCUGGCAAUACCA
rnacentral:tRNA from 1 species